rnacentral:lncRNA from 1 species
CUACCGGAAAACAGAAAAGGUCAGAAGAAAGUUGGAUCUCUUUCCUUGUCUCUCUAUCUAUGUCUUUUAGCUCUGAGUACUUGAAUUUUGUUUUAGGAACUGAACAAAUGCAUAUCUUCUCUGGAAACUGUCCUAUUUCAUUUCUUAUGUAUCUUCCUAUAUUGCAAGUUUGUAUUCCUUAUUGCUUGUAAGACAAGAGGGGUUGCUCUGAUGGUAAGCAACCCCCACUUCCAACCGAGAGGUUGUGAUUUGUUAAUUGUACAAAAGGAGACAAGAGGGGUUGCUCUGAUGGUAAACAACCUCCACUUCCAACCGAGAGGUUGUGAGUUCGAGCCUCCCCAAGAGCAAGGUGGGAAGUUCUUGGAGGGAAGGAUGCCGGGGUCAAUUUGGAAACAGCCUCUCUACCCAAGGGUAGGGGUAAGGUCUGCGUACACACUACCCUCCCCAUACCCCACUAAGUGUGAGUAUACUGGGUUGUUGUUGUUGUAUUCCUUAUUGCUUGGCUCUUAGUCUUUUAAGUUUACUUGUUAGCACUUCUUCUUGAUAAAAGUAUUGCUAAAUUGUAGGACCCGGAUAUAUGAAGUUCACCAAUAAGCCUGCCGAUAAUCAACCACUAUUUUGUUCUGUCUUCUUUGCAUUUCCAAGUUAAAGAUUUGUCUGUCAAACACCAUUCCAUCUUGCGAUAAUUUAUUCAAGUACUAAUCACAGCCUUAAAUAUUUUAUGCUCCUUUUCUGUAGGAGACAAGCAGUCACCUGGGUAAUUCUAGAAGACUAUUUGACUUGGGGUAGCUAGUGGUAAGAAGCAUCCUCCUCUAACCAUGAGAAAUGGCGUUUGAUUCAACAGGGAAGCCAAGUUGGGAAGUCACUGUUGGGCUUCUGGGCAAAGGAGGUUUUAAGCGGGGUUGGGAAUCUUUUUGAG